rnacentral:tRNA from 1 species
UGCAUCGGCCGGGAAUCGAACCCGGGCCGCCCGCGUGCAGGCGAGCAUUCUAUCACUGAACCACCGAUGG